rnacentral:rRNA from 1 species
GACGAACGCUGGCGGCGUGCCUAACACAUGCAAGUCGAACGGUAAGGCCCUGCGUUUGUGCGGUUCUGGAGUGCCGAUAGCGUGAGUGUAACGUGUGUAACCUGCUCUUGUCUUUGGUGUAACAUAAGGAAACUCGAGUUAAUAUACGACAGGAGAUCAUGCUGCAUUGUGUGUAUGGGAAAGUCUCGCCGGUUGGGGAUGCACGCGCGGCUUAUCAGUUUGUUGGUGGGGUAGUGGCUUACCCACGCGUUGACGGGUAGCCAGCUUGAGAGGGUGACCGGCCACAUUGGGACUGAGGUAGGGCCCAGACGGCUACGGGAGGCAGCGGUGGGGAAUAUUGCACAAUGGGCGGAAGCAGGAUGCAGCAACGUCGCGUGCGGAAUGACGGCUUUUGGGUUGUAAACCGCUUUCGCCUGUGACGAAGCGUGAGUGACGGUAACGAGUAAAGAAGCACCGGCUAACUACGUG